rnacentral:misc_RNA from 1 species
CAAUGUGGGAGCCUGCUCGCGAUGACGGUUUGUCAGUCACAUCUGUUUUUGAUGUGACUACGCUAUCGCGAGCAGGCUCCCACACAA